GUUAGGAAUAUUGGACAAUGGGCGCAAGCCUGAUCCAGCCAUGCCGCGUGAGUGAUGAAGGCCUUCGGGUUGUAAAGCUCUUUAGUCCACGAAUAUAAUGACUGUAGUGGAAGAAUAAGCCCCGGCUAACUUCGUGCCAGCAGCCGCGGUAAUACGAAGGGGGCGAGCGUUAUUCGGAAUCACUGGGCGUAAAGCGUGCGUAGGCUGUUUUGUAAGUCAGAAGUGAAAGCCCAGGGCUUAACCCUGGAAUUGCUUUUGAAACUACAAGACUCGAAUUCGGGAGAGGAUAGCGGAAUUGUCAGUGUAGCAGUGAAAUGCGUAGAUAUUGACAGGAACACCAGUGGCGCAAGCGGCUAUCUGGACGAGUAUUGACGCUGAGGCACGAAAGCGUGGGGAGCAAACAGGAUUAGAAACCCCAGUAGUCC
rnacentral:rRNA from 1 species